UUGAGACAGCAGCUGCACUGGCAACAAGCCAAACCUUACAAUGUUCUCAUAACAAUCCAGGGAAACACGGUGGCACUCUAGCUCGCCACCCGUGAAAGUCCUCGGUUAAAGAGGUUCCCAAGAACUGUUGCUCUAUUGGGUUAACCCCUUCUAGGCACAAGGCUCCCAACAGAGAGGGAGAAGUAAACUCCCCAACUAGCAGGGAGCCAGAGGUGGGCCUCAAUCCUAGGACUGUGGAAUUACGACCUGAGCCAUCCAGGCACCCCAUCUGGUCCAUUUGUACAUUUUAAAUGGGUGAAUUAUACACCAUGGAAAUUCUGUGCAAAUAAAGCUAUUACAAGGAACCCCAAAUAAGAAAUACCUGCAUAAGAAGACUUAGUAUUAUAACAUCUCAGGACUAUAUAAAUUCAUCUAUUAAACACACACACACUUGUAAGAUUUCAAUGGGAAUUUAGGAUCUAACUUUCUUGUGUGUCUUAAACUUUGUGAUGAUACAAAAACAAUUUUGAAAAGCACAUAGGAAAAGAAGUUUUGUCAAAGUACACAUACAUAAUUACUAGUAUGAUUUAUGUUCAACGUUUUGAUGUUCGAUGAAGAAAAUGGAGAGAUGUGAAAAUCUGUCUCAGCUUCUGUAAAGAAUCAAUAGAAUGGAUAUCUGUGUAAUUCUGUGUUUUUAAUUUCUAUAGAUCUCUGUUUCUUUAUAUAUCUCUACAUAUAUAGAAGGAAGGAAAGCUUUCUUUAUGAAUUGCCUAACCUAAGUGUGACAGAAGGCAAGUCUAAUGUCGGCAAGGAAGUCCAGCAGGCUAGAAGGCCAGGAAAGAGCUGACGUUGAAGCUGGAGAAUCUGAAGACGGUCUGGAGACAGAGUUAGAAUCUCUCCUGAAGACCAACACUAAAGGAGAAAGUGAAGAAGAAAUGGCCCUUUCUCAGGGACAGCUGGCCUUCAGGGAUGUGGCCAUCGAAUUCUCCGAGGAGGAGUGGGGAUGCCUGACCCACACUCAGCGGCAACUGUACAGGGACGUGAUGUUGGAGAACUAUAGACACCUGCUCUUCUUGGGUCUCAUUGUGUCAAAGCCUGAUUUGGUCUCCUUUUUGGAGCAAAAGAAGGACCCUUGGGAUAUGAAGAGAAAGAAGACAGUGGUCUUUGAUCCAGCUGUAUCUUCACAGGGCACUCUGAGCUUCCUGCCAGAGCCAUGCAAAAAAGCUUCAUUUCAAGAUGUAUCCAUGGGUCGAUAUAAACAUAGCAUCCUUGAGAAGUUACACCUAAUAAUAGACUGCGAUAAUGAUCGAAAAGGAUAUAUCCAAAUUGAGACUACUGCCCAUAAUAGUGAAAGAUACAAAAUACUUUGUAAAACCUUCCUUUUUAAGUCCAUUAGUUCUGCAAGGCCUGGUGUUUCUGUCAGCAGGAGCUCCCCUCAAACACUCAAACGUCCAUAUUUAUCGAUAGAGAAUGUGGAACAUCUGGAAAGUUACCGAGCCUGUGCUGAACAUAAUGAUUUGAACAAUUCUGAAAAUAGGAUUGGAUUGACCAUUCAUUCAAAUAUUUCUAAACUUCAGAGAUUUCAACAUGGAGAAACAGCUGCUAAGUGGGAUCCAUUUGAGAGGUCCUUCACUAAAGACUCAACCCUUCCAAAUUCCCAGAGCAUUUUCAAUGGAGAGGGAAUUGCUCAAGGCAGUAUAUCUGAGAAAAAAAUUUAUCAAGGCUCAAAUGUUAAGAAACAUCUGAGGACUCAUUUUGCAGAGAACCAUUUCAAACUUAUUAAACGUGGGGAAGUCUUUUCUCAAAGAUCCAUCCUUCUGUCUAACAGUAUGCAUAUAAGGGAUUGGCCGAAUGAAUGUGAAAGAGAUUUUAAGCAGUGCUCCAGUUUUAGUGAUCAUCCAAAAAUUUAUAUGGGAAAAAACCCAUCCAGACAUAAGAAGCCUGGGAACACGUUUAGUCAGUCAUUGGGGACACAUAUACAUAAGACAAUCUGUAGUGGAGAGAAACCUUACAAAAGUAAAGAACACAGCACAGACAUUAAAUUGCCAUCAACCCUUACUCACCAUCACAGAAUUCAUACUGGAGAGAAACCUUUCCAAUGUCAAGAAUGUGGGAAGGCCUUUAAGCACAGCUCAAGUCUUACUCACCAUCACAGAAUUCAUAGUGGAGGGAAACCUUACCAAUGUCAAGAAUGUGGCAAGGCUUUUAACCGCAGCACAAGUUUUAUUCAACAUCACAGAAUUCAUACUGGAGAGAAACCUUACCAAUGUCAAGAAUGUGGGAAGGCCUUUAACCAGUCUUCACACCUUACUCAACAUCAGAGAAUUCAUACAGGAGAGAAACCUUACCAAUGUCAAGAAUGUGGCAAGGCCUUUAACUACAGCUCAAGUCUUACUCGACAUCACAGAAUUCAUACUGGAGAGAAACCUUACCAAUGUCAAGAAUGUGGCAAGGCCUUUAGCAAUUCUUCACACCUUACUCAACAUAACAGCAUUCAUACUGGAGAGAAACCUUUCCAAUGUCAAGAAUGUGGCAAGGCCUUUAACCGGAUAUCACGCCUCACUGAACAUCACAGAAUUCAUACUGGAGAGAAACCUUACCAAUGUGUAGAAUGUAGCAAGGCCUUUAACGGGGAAUCCAACCUUACUCGACAUCACAGAAUUCAUACUGGUGAGAAACCAUACAAAUGUGAAGAAUGUGGCAAGGCCUUUAGGCAGCAUUCAAAACUUAUUCAACAUUACAGAAUUCAUACUGGAGAGAAACCUUACAAAUGUGAAGAAUGUGGCAAGGCCUUUAGGCAGCAGUCAAACCUUCUUGAGCAUUGCAGAAUUCAUUUUAGAGAGAAACCUUACAAAUGUAAAGGGUGUGGGAAGGCCUUUAUCCAUCAGUCAGGCCUUACUACACAUUACAGAGUUCAUACUGGAGAGAAACCUUAGAAAUAUGUAGAAUGUGGCAAGGCCUUUAACCGGAUGUCACACCUUACUGAACAUCACAGAAUUCCUACUGGAACUAGUCCUUACAAAUUUGAAGACUGAGAGAAUUUGGGAGGACUGCUGAACUCUUAACUCCACAUCAGAGAAUUCAAUUUGGAGAGUGAUUAUACACAUGUAAAGAAUGUGGCAAGACCUUUAGGCAAUGCUAAACCCUUGUUCCUUAUCCAAGAAUGUAUAGUGGAGGUGAUUCUACAAAUAGAAAAAUACAGCAAACCCUUUCUUAGUGCUCAAGCCUCUCCCAGCAUUACAGAAUUCAUAGUAGAGAGAAAUCUUGUAUGUGUAAGAAUGUGGUAAAGCUUUUGGACUCUCAACACUUAAGUCAGCAUCCGAGAGUUCAUACUGGGGAGAAAUACUAGAAAUGGAAAGAACAUGGCAGGCCUCUGGCUGGAAGUCAUAACUUGCUCAACAUCACUGUUACCAUCCAGGAACAAGACUGUAAUAUGUAAAGACAGUGGCCAAGACUUUAACUAGAAUUCAGCCCGUACUUGGUGUCCCAAGAUGCAGUCUUGGGUCAAACGCUACAAACAUAAUGAAUGAGGAAAGACUGUCUCUUACAGUUUAGGAAACAUCAGAGAGUUCAGAGAAGAAAAGGAACUUGACAGAUAAAAGUCCAUAGAUAUGUAUUUAGUUGAACAUCAAAUGUCAGUAAAUGUCAUAGAAUUUCCAGAACAAAGCAGUACACUAGUCACUCUCUUCUUAGAUUAUAUCAAAAAAGUCUUAAUGCAAAAUUAGUUAGAUAAUGUAUGUGCUAUUAUGCUUCAAAAGAUAGAAGGGACUUUCACAUGAGUAUAAUUUCAGUGUGUUUGUGUUUCCAUGGACCCUAUAUGAGAUUUGUGACUUGUGAUUAUUCAUGUGUUUCUACUCUUAGAACUCUUCAGAAAAUUCAUUUAUUCCUAGUGAGUGUGUGAAAGUAUGUGGGUCCUUGUUAUUACAUCAGGGAUAUGAGAUGCCCUUCUUCUUUAGGUGGGACUCAUGCAUAUCUAAUUUUCCAUGGAAGAUGAAGGACUGUGUAACGUACAAUAUAUGAGGAAAAUCUAAGUGAAUAUUCCUCCUGUGGUUAUAACAGUGAUAUAGAUCCUCAUGACGUAGUUGUUCAGGACAUCAUUCUCCCAUUUAUUAAAACUAAAAAAAUUGUGACCAUUACCAAUUACAUGUUUUACUAAAUGGUGUUUUUAAUGAAAACAAGAUGGCAAUCUUCACAAUAGUAAUUGUUAGAGAGUAUGAGUUGAUGGGUUUGAAAUGAAGAAAUCCUGACAGAUAUCAGAGAAUAGCUAACUUAUGUAAAAUGACAUACACUCAUACAUCCACAUUUUUAGAGAAUUACCAGAGUCCUGAAAGUUUUUUCAUAUGAAAUACUAAGCUGGUAAGAAGUUAAAAUAGAGUGCUGUCAGAUGUCUUCUCCAAGCCUCACGGUAAUGAUAAAAUCAGAACAAUGUAGUAGAUACAGAAGACAUAAAGAGAAAAUCUAAGUAUUCCCUUCUUUAAAAUCAUCAAAUCACAAUGAUAGCUAAUGAAUAAGAAAGCGAUGAAUAAUUCUAAACAGCCAGACUGUAACUCCAUACUUGCACUAAUACUUGCUUCAAAUAUAAAGGGCCUAAAUUCUUGAAUCCAAAGAUACAGAUUGCCUGAAAGGAAAGAAAUACCAGACCCAACCAUAUACAGUCUUCAAGAGAAUCACUUCAGCUUUAAGAACACUGACUGAAAGUCCAAGUGUGGAAAAGAAUAUUCCCUGCAAAUGGAAUUGAAAAGAAAGCAGGUUAGCUCUGCUUACAUCAGUGAAAAUAAACUUUAAGCCAGAGAGUGUAGUAAAACAUGGCAAAGCUCAUUUAACAUAACGGGCUGACUUUGUGUAGUAUUCAUAAUGAUGUAUUUUUUGGCAGAAUGUCAAAAAAGACUUUCCCCAUUGUUUUGGUUUUGGAAGAACAGGGCAGUUUUUCUUUAGAUUCAGUUGCAAAUGAUAGGCAUCCUUAGCCUUAGUUGUGAUAGUGGAUUUAGUCCAAGCUGGGGGUUUUUUGGAAAUGUACAUCUUCCCGUAAGAAACCCUUAUAUUCUAGAUGCUUCAACGUUUCUAGCAUGGCUUGCCUAUGACCAUGCAUUUACUAAAUAUAAAAGGUUCACUCCUUUAAUUGUGGAGAAAGGUAGCUAACACAUGUAGUUAUUAUAAAGUUUUUUCUGGUGAGAUAAACAACACCAGGCAAAGUGGGUGCAAGGCAAGAUUUAUUAAAAACACUCUCCAGCGAAAUUUCAGGGCUCAGGAGAAGGGGAGCCAGGAAAG